CCAGAAGCAACUGCAAGGCGACCGAGCGGACAACAACAGCUUGGACUGAUGGACGAUGACGAAAAAAGCAUAGGCCUAUAGGAGGCAAAAUGCAGCAGUCAGCGAGUGGGUAAAUCCAAACCAUAUCAGCCACAAGAAGGCUGGGUGGAGUCUACGACGGGUUCUUUUCCAAGCAAGGAGAAGGCCGAGGCGGCAUUGGUCUACAGCUACAAGAACACCAUCAGCAGGUUGGAGGCGAAGCUCACACUCGCGCAGGUCGCCGUGCUGAGGAGGUCGAGUAGGUCGCAAACGAGGUGUACCGUGCAUCGCAAGGAUGGAGGCCGGGGGUGCUUA